rnacentral:rRNA from 1 species
GGUUGAUCCUGCCAGUAGUCAUAUGCUUGUCUCAAAGAUUAAGCCAUGCAUGUCUAAGUAUAAGCAAUUGUACGGUGAAACUGCGAAUGGCUCAUUAAAUCAGUUAUCGUUUAUUUGAUAGUACCUUACUACUUGGAUAUCCGUGGUAAUUCUAGAGCUAAUACAUGCUUACAACCCCGACUUCUGGAAGGGGUGUGUUUAUUAGAUAAAAAAUCAGCGUUUGUUGAUGAUUCAUGAUAACCUUUCGAAUCGCAUGGCCUUGCCGGCGAUGGUUCAUUCAAAUUUCUGCCCU